AUUGAACGCUGGCGGCAUGCUUUACACAUGCAAGUCGAACGGCAGCGCGGGCUUCGGCCUGGCGGCGAGUUGCGAACGGGUGAGUAAUGCAUCGGAACGUGCCCAGUAGUUGGGGAUAGCCCGGCGAAAGCCGGAUUAAUACCGCAUACGACCUGAGGGUGAAAGCGGGGGACCGAAAGGCCUCGCGCUAUUUGAUCGGCCGAUGUCGGAUUAGCUAGUUGGUGGGGUAAAGGCUUACCAAGGCGACGAUCCGUAGCUGGUCUGAGAGGACGACCAGCCACACUGGGACUGAGACACGGCCCAGACUCCUACGGGAGGCAGCAGUGGGGAAUUUUGGACAAUGGGGGCAACCCUGAUCCAGCCAUGCCGCGUGCGGGAAGAAGGCCUUCGGGUUGUAAACCGCUUUUGUUCGGGAAGAAAUCCUCUGGGCUAAUACCCCGGGGGGAUGACGGUACCGGAAGAAUAAGCACCGGCUAACUACGUG
rnacentral:rRNA from 1 species